rfam:Triticum aestivum genome assembly, contig: Triticum_aestivum_CS42_TGACv1_scaffold_593178_7BS
AUACAUUUCUCAGCCUUUUGGCUAAGAUCAAAUAUAGUAUCUGUUCUUAUCAGUUUAAUAUAUGAUAUAUGAUAUGUGAGCCAUGUGCCCACAAUAAUAUUAAAUUUAUUUUUUAUGGAAAAAGUUCAUCACAGUGGCUUGCCAUUGGGGCCCUUUGUUGUUGUUUGGGCGUUGCACUACAGGUCUACAGCCCAGGUAGACGCACCCCAA